rnacentral:rRNA from 1 species
AUUGAACGCUGGCGGCAGGCCUAACACAUGCAAGUCGAGCGGAGCGGCGGACGGGUGAGUAAUGCCUAGGAAUCUGCCUGGUAGUGGGGGAUAACGUCCGGAAACGGGCGCUAAUACCGCAUACUAUCAGAUGAGCCUAGGUCGGAUUUGCUAGUUUGUGGGGUAAAGGCCUACCAAGGCGACGAUCCUUAACUGGUCUGAGAGGAUGAUCAGUCACACUGGAAAUGGGCCACGGGCCAGCUUCCUACGGGAGUCAGCAGUGGGGAGUAGUGGCCAAUGGGCUAAAGCCUGAUCCAGCCAUGCCGCGUGUGUUAAGAGGUUCGUCGGAUUGUAAAGCACUUUAAGUUGGGAGGCGUUACCAACCGAAUAAGCACCGGCUAACUUCGUGCCAGCAGCCGCGGUAAUUC